CUGCUGUGGGAGCUGUAGGAGGGGAAGAAGAUUUAGACGCACAUACUUUGUGUCUUUGCUGUUUCUAUUACAAAAAGGAGGUUUAUUCUGCAUCUUUCAGCAAAGAUACACACAGUGGAGAACAGAAUGUAACAGAACACAGAGUUUUCUUUAACACUGAGUUGGGCUGCUCUCAAAAGGGCCUCAGUAAGAGAACAAGAGAGAACCAGCAGACAUCAAACAAAAAGGUUUACAGCACAAACAUGGUAGAUUAAGGCAAAGGCCCCCAGAUGGACACACUUAUUGACUGACAUUAUACAGGAUGCAGUAUUGUGAGAGAUAUUAGAUUCCUGGAGAGCUUAUGUAGUGAUCAUGCACGAAUCAUGUGAGUGGACAGCCAGUCGGAAUGCACCAUUGUUCUGGUGACUGUGCUAAAGAACUUUUAGUUUUGUUUCAUGAUGUUACCUCAGAUGUUCAUCCUUGGCCACAUCCUGCCAAACCUUCACACCCUUUUGUCAAGGAGCUCUCCCAGGCACUGAAAAAACUCAAAUUAAAGACGCUCUUUUCCAGUCACCACCCCCUGUUAGCAGACCACCCUGUUGUCACACCAGUAUGUCUCACCAUGCUGCAGCUCCUUGUCAGACCCAGCCAAAACCUAACUGUACUACAGUGCAGAACCCUGGAUGAAACCAUUGCCUUUCUCUUCCCGAACAGGGACCGAGCCAACCCACUCAGCUGCCUUUCUAUCAAGUACCGCCCCCAGAGGUUUAUCUGACACAAAGUCAGUUUGUUUCAAGAGACUUGAGCCAGUGCCACAAACUUCACACCCAGCUAAAACAUCCCAGCAUAGGGUUGAUGCUGUGUCCUAC
ensembl:lncRNA